rnacentral:rRNA from 1 species
AACAUCUAAGUACCCCGAGGAAAAGAAAUCAACCGAGAUUCCGAAAGUAGCGGCGAGCGAAAUUGGACUAGCCCUUAAGCUUUACACGCGUUAGACGAACGGUCUGGAAAGUCCGACGAUACAGGGUGAUAGUCCCGUAGUUGACGACGUGUGUUCAGUGAAAUCGAGUAGGGCGGGACACGUGAUAUCCUGUCUGAAUAUGGGGGGACCAUCCUCCAAGGCUAAAUACUACUGACUGACCGAUAGUGAACCAGUACCGUGAGGGAAAGGCGAAAAGAACCCCUGUGAGGGGAGUGAAAUAGAACCUGAAACCGUGUACGUACAAGCAGUA